rnacentral:tRNA from 1 species
UAUAUUUUAGUAUAUUAUGUACACUAAUUUUUGAUUUUAGAGGUAACGGUUUAUUUCCGUUAAAUGUAU